UACGAGGGGGGCGAGCGUUGUUCGGAAUUAUCGGGCGUAAAGGGUGCGUAGGCGGUUCCGCAAGUCCUGUGUGAAAUCUUCGGGCUCAACUCGAAGUCUGCACGGGAAACUGCGGGGCUUGAGUGUGGGAGAGGUGAGUGGAAUUCCCGGUGUAGCGGUGGAAUGCGUAGAUAUCAGGAGGAACACCGGUGGUGUAAACGGCUUUCUGGACCAUAACUGACACUGAGGCACGAAAGCGUGGGUAGCAAACAGG
rnacentral:rRNA from 1 species